AAAUGGUGGAAGAGAUCCACGUCACGUGACUUCUUUGUGCUACCCCCCGCAUAUUCUGGCAAAACUGGCGGGCACAACACGACCGAAGAACGGUGUGCGGUUUAUAAACCCCUCGCCAGUGACACCCGUCUUGGAGCGGCGUCGUUACACGGCGAAUUCGCGAAGAUCCGUCGUGUGCUCGUCGGAGCAGACAUGGUGGCCAUUUUGAGCGAGCCUGCGCAGGCAACGUAGCGGUUGCCCGCCAGGUUGGGAAAAACACCGCCAAAACCUCAACCGCCAAAGCUCCAGCAGUCGUUGAAAACAUACCGAUUCCUCCUCCUUUUCCAUCCCGGUGGGCAUCUGCGGCACCGCCCGGUUGAUAGAAGCAUAUUCGUGUAGGUCCGGUAGAUCCUCGCAGCGGAAGACGGGCAAGGGCUUGCUAGCAUCCAGCGCCCGCGCCCGAAACGACAAUUUACUCAUGUUUUUAUAUCAAAAGACGCAGCAUAAAGCUCGUGGAUCUGCGAGGAAUAACAGCAGUUCCGCUUGUAGUUCUCAUGGAUGGAUCCGGGACGGUCCUCUGGAAUGAGCGGCUCGAUCGAGGCUGGGCUCGGGUCCGUAGCAGCGCGAGCAGCGCACGGGCAGGCCCGCGUCUCGGUCGCUCUCUGUCGGUCGCUGUGGCUCUGGCGCUCCGCUCUCCCUCCCCGGUUCAAUGCGCCAUGGCCAACAUGGCGGACAUUACAAACUCAUGUAGCGCUCCGCUCGCUCCGCACGGCCCAACCCCCUCAAUCGCACCAACAGCCAUUCCCACGCAGCUUGGCACGCCUGCGCGCUCGACAGAACCGUGGGGUCCGGAGACAGAUGGGGUGGGGACCGAGGAUGCUGAACAGGGGACGUCAACUUUUUCCAGGAAGGGAAAUUAUCUUAUUAUGCCGGGAAAACAAAUAUGCCACCACUUGAAAAUCACUGUCCUCGAUGAUCAAAAACAAGCAGGCGCCAUCAUAAAACAAUGUUCGUAUUAAUAUUUUCCUAUAUCGUUUCAUAUUUCAAUCAAGUUUACAUCCCGGCUGUUGACAUCUCGCAAAGAUUGCCACCCUAUGCAACAAAAAAGGACUUGACUUUGGAUCCAACUCCGUGUGUGUGUGUGUGCGGUGGUCAAGGAUGCUGGAGAGCUGUCGCCAUGGCAACCACAGCAUCACACCCAACAACAAGAGGCUGCGUUGCGGUAACGUAUGGAUCGAUUACUCCUCCUUGUCCAUACCGAACCAUUGCAUUGUUAUGAUGGGUGUUAAGAAUCUACUGCAAAACCCCCAGACAAAGAUCCUCUAUGUGACAGGAUGGAUCCCACUGCUGUUUUUAGGUAUCAAAGAACUCUUUUUGCUGUCAAAAGCUCUAUUUGUAAUGAUUGACAGCGCAAAUUCUCAUCAAAGAUCCUCUUCAUGACAAGAACCCUUUGCUGAUUAUACAGCUUUACAAAAAAAAUCUAAUCAAAGACCAUUUUGCUGUUUUUAAGGACUGACCAUAAAUAUAUAUAUAAAAAUACAUCAAAGAUACUCCAAACAGCAUAAUUGUUUUUAAGUACCGACAUUGAAAAAGAAACGAUCCUCAAUAAGGAUGUUUUUAAGGAUCUAAAGUGAAAAUAACAAUCAAAGAUCUUCUAUAACAGGAACCCAUUGCUGUUUUUAGGAAUCGGCAGCAAAAAUGCCCAUUAAGACAAGAACCCUACGCUGUUUUUAAUGACAAACAGCAAACAUUAUAGCCUUAAGCGCCUCUAAAAGACUAGUGUUCUAAAAUUCCAGUCAAAGAUCCUCUGUAUGACAAGAGCACGCUUCUAUUUUUAAACACUGCAUGAGAAAACGGCGAAUCAGAGAACCUUUAAGCGACUGUAGCGCUGUAGCUACCCCGAGUGUAGAAACGGGAUCUCUUUUAGCAAGGCGCACUCCAAAACAAACACACCUUGCCCCGCCCGCCCCUGAUCCUGAUGAGUAACCUGAAAUUAGCCGUGUUGGCUAAAUCGUUACCAUUAAAGCCAUUUCACCUUGAGCAUUUGACCAUUUCAUCUCCAUGACGACCCCUAGAAAUUGACACAGUGGAUGCAUGCACACAUACUGUACAUCUUGUAGGUAGCAAUGCAAUCCCAGCACCCCACUAAUCAGCCAAUCACAGUGAAUAUCACACAUUCCUCCUCCUCCUUCCUCAUGGUCCACUGAUGCUCCACCAUCCUAUAACAAGCUCAGAGGUCAGAGCGACAGUUAACCCCGGCAGGAUGGGGAGGAGGCGGGGACACGACCUUUGUCUCAAGGACGCCCCUGGCUCAGGAUGGAUGUUGUUAGUGGAAAGACAAUCCCUGCAUCCACACCAAUUUGUUCUUCUUGAACAAACGCUAUCCAGAAGUAUUUUUUAAUCAAUUUAAACGCGUGUCAGAGGUCCCAUAUUAGUGCGUUGCCCAACGUCAGGCUGGUUUCUCCAUGAAGUGAGGGGGAGGUUAUAGAUUUGGGUCUCAUCAUCAGCAGCAGACCUUCGGGUAGUCAUCCCGUCAAACAAAGACGGCGUACCUAAUCAAGUGUCUGAGCACACACACGAGCUGCCACACAGCCCCUCGGAGAUGAAGAGAUGAGGGCUUCACUUGGCUCGCCCGUCGGGUUUGCGGCUGCCACGCGGCCUCUUUAACCCGGUGAGUGGGAGCCGGUGCAUCGGUGACCUUUAAAUCUCUGUUUUUCCACUCCUGCCUUCAGCGGGCCGGACCUCCAUUUCUCAGCUGGGAUUGCAGGACGGGAAUCAAUUUAGCACGCGCUGCCGAGCCUGCUCCGCGGGAUAAACAUGAUCAACUCCACUGCAACACACACACACACACACACACAAAAACACACACACACACACAGUGGCAGAGCAAGUAAUGCUUUUGGGUUGGAGGAUUUAUCGACGCUGUCUUAAAUGACGCUUGGGGCGCUCUUGGCGGGAAGUUCUGCCCACUGUGGCCAUUUUUCUCAGAAAAAGAUGAGGCACAGACAACUCUUACUGUAUAACGUCAUUCUUACCCAAACCACACCCACCAGGGGCAUCGAGUAGCCUCUAUAUUGGGGGGGGGGCGACUGCCUCAUUUAUGAAAUUAACUUAUGACGCUCAGCUCUGGAACCAAUUAACCGUGAUAAACGAGGGAUUACUGGAAUCUAUUACAAAUUCUAUAAUUAUUUCAACAUUAAAUCAAUAAAAAUAAUUAGUUUAAUUUAGUAAUAAUAGUAUGACUUUAUCCUAUAUUACCCUAGUUUUCAACACAUUUUUUUGUUUGUUUUAAUAUGAUAUAUUUCGACUUUAUGCAUUUUUAAUAUAUUUUUUUUAUAUAUUUUUAAUUGACUUGUUUGAUUGUAUAUUUUUUUCCUGCGCUUUCUUGCCUUAAAAAAAAUUUAAAUAAAAAAAUGUGAGGACCUGCUAGCUAAAACAAACAUAGGCGGCCGGGUCUCUCCUGAGUGCACUUUCUUACCUUAAAAAAAAACCCAAAUAAAUAAUAUAUAUAUAUAUAUUAAUAUUAUUUAUAUAUAUAUAUAUUUUUCACAUCCCUUGUUGUUAGUCCGCCAAGGGUAGCAACAAGGAAUGUGAGCACCCUGUCAUAUAUUAUUAUUAUUUGAACAGCUUUAUUGUAGUAUGUAUAAACAUGCAAAUUAUUGAAAUUAUUGACUUAUUACGUAUAAUCUCUUAUAAAUAAGCCUGAUUUUUGAAUGAUGCAGCAAGAAUUGUGUUGUGUUUGUCUUCCAGUUGCUGCUUAGCUCCGUUAACUCCGUGAUGCCGUGAACUGAACCAGAACCGAUGGCAGGUAUUCCGAAGAAGUGGGUCAGCAGGUGUGGGAACACUGUGACACUGGAGGAGGGGAAGUGUGUGUGCGUGGAGAGGUGGGGGGGGGUUGUCCUUUCGAUCGCCCCAGAGGUUCUCCCAUGUCCUUCCAGCCUGAAGGACAAAGACUGGCCAGGUUGUUCCGUUGCUGCACAUGAGGGAGGUUUUGUGUCUUUUUUUAUAAGCAGCAUCAAUCCAUGAAGUGUUGCAAGGACGCAUCCCAGCAGCCACCAUCGGACGGAUUCCUCGGACAUCCUGAUGUGUGUUUGAGGUAAGACAAGGACAGCUAGCAAGCAGCGGGGGUUGCUUUCCGCUCUUUGGGUGGGCGUCAUGUGGAGAAAACACCGCCGACAAAAGAUGAAGAGAUUUUCAAGCGCUGUCAAUCCUUCAGGAAGGAGGAAGCGGUCGCCGACGGCGUGUUUGUCUUCUUCUACGCAUAAAUACGCGGUGUAUCAUUGCAUAAUGUUACAGAUCACAUGACACCUUCACAGAGUCAGUGAUGAGAGACCAAAGCAAAGAAAGCUUCCCGGGAUGGAGAAGUGUCCCUGCUGUGAGACAACACACACAAAACCUCUUCCUGUUGGUGUUCCCGUGCUUUGGGAGCGAUGGCGUCCUGUUGAGGCAACCUGUUCUCCAAUCAUCAUGAGCUCCCACAACCAAUGUUGGAAUAGCGGUAAGAAGCAACCUGCUCAGCUCGGCAUUAAUAUCUCAUUGUACAGGAAGUCAUAGCAACACUUUAAAGCGCAUGCAGAGGUAUAUGCUGAUCACUCGUCAUCAAUCAAAUUAUCAUCAAAUGCAGAUACCGCCACCUUGUGGAGCACAUUGUCAUUUAUUAAGAGGCGUACUGAACAACACAGCAGCAACAGAACCAAUGUUGUAAUAGCCUAGCGUGAAUAGCGUUGAUGAGUUCAUUGUAAGCAGUACAGCAAGUAUAACAUGCGUAGGGUUCACGCCAAUAUUUUAAAGCGCACGCAGAGGUAUAUAUAUAGUAGCUAUAUAAUCAGAAGGUUGCCUACAGCCACAGCUGUAGUCAGGAGUGUAUCUAAUCUUUUCGCUAUAUGAGCAUACGCUCAAUUUGGAGUUUUCCCGGCCCCCUUCUGUAGCUAAGACGAGGUUCUUCCACAUCAAACUCGCAGCCGUGAGUAUGUGACAGGAGGCCAUUUUGAGCGGCACCAACGCCACGUGACCGCCUCAAAGACAGGAAGAUUAAUGAGAUGCCCAACUUCCACGCCGUCCUCCAUGAGGAAAGCACUCAAGCAGCACGGUGGCACACAAACAGCCCACAACCGGAAAGCGAGGCGCGGUCUUUCUUCUCUCAUCAUUAAGUGAAGUGGAUUUGUAAUUAGCGCCCGAGGAAGAUCAUCUCCUCCCCGAGCGACUCGCCAUAUUUGAUCUACUGAGUGGCUGGGCUUGUACAAAAGAAAUAAGAGCCACUUGUCUCUGGGCCGGGUGGAGAUAAACAUGAAGGUGGGAGGCGGGGAAGGACGCUGCCAUCGUGCUCCUCAUCUCGCUACCUUUAUUGGAGGCCACCGCCGAUGGAUACACCUGUAUCCAUCACAGGAGAUACGUCAUGUGACACAUAUCGGUAUUGAUAUCGGAAAUUGAGAUUUUGGACAUUUGGAUUUUCGGCAAAAAAGCCAAUAUCAGACAUCCUUAUGAGAAUAUUUCAUUUUGCCUAAUUUAAACAAAAAUUAAAUUGACAUUUUAUAAACUAUCCUUAUUCCUGUAGUGUAUCAUGAGCAGGGGAAAUGUGGUAUUACAGUACCCAGAAAUGUGGUAUUACAGUACCCAGAAAUGUGGUAUUACAAUACCCAGAAAUGUGCUAUUAUCAUACCCAGAAAUGUGGUAUUACAGUACCCUUAAAUGUGGAAUUACAGUAUUCAGAAAUGUGGUAUUACAAUACCCAGAAAUGUGCUAUUAUCGUACCCUUAAAUGUGGUAUUACAGUACCCAAAAAUGUGGUAUUUUCUGUGUUUUUUCACCUAAGAUACUGACAUAAAGAGAGCAUGCAUGCUAUUGCUUGCUGCCUUGGCUCUCUUUUCUCAAUUUGGGGGCCUUGCAAAGCCCCCGAGUGGGACUGUAACCCACAUAAAAGCUUAUUGAUCCAAAGCCAGGAAGCUAAAUGAGUUUGUUGGACAGGUUACCUAUGCAGAGGAGUGAGCUACCCUCCUUCCUUCCUUUCUUCCUUCCUCCCUUCCUUCCAAGAGCAAAUAUUAGCGCUGCAGGAGCCAGGAGCCUGGAGCAGAGCCUGAGAUAAUGGGUGGGGGGUGGGGGGGUUCUUUAGCCCGAUCCAGCAAGGUGAGACCACAAAGCACAAACCCGCAGAGACUCCAAAAACAAGACUAAUCUGCCGCUCGGCCCACCUCACACCCACUGCAGACAAAGAUGACGCGGAAGUCACAAGCGCGCUUGAUUGUGCGUCUUUGAAAAGAUAAUGGAGCAGAGAAACAAAACGGAUUGGCCAACGUCUUUAUCGGGAUGUGGGCGGAAUUUGGUUUGAAUGGGAAAUUUUUAAAAAGCAUCUUGUUGAAUAUUAUGGAACGGUAGCAGAUGGAGAGGACAGAAAAAACAGCUAAUGGUGGGGGGGGGGGGGGGGGGGUAUUUACAUGGAAUAUUGAUCCUGGAGGUCAGCGAGAGGGAGGAGAUAAU